AAGAUCAAAGCUAGUAGUGUUUCCACACGGAUCAAAUUGAAUCGAAGAACCUGAACCUCUGCCCAGUGAGGCAGAGUAAGGCGCUUUCAGUCAGUUCUU